rnacentral:rRNA from 1 species
CAGAGGGGGCAAGCGUUGUUCGGAAUUACUGGGCGUAAGGGCGCGUAGGCGGCCUGUUAAGUCGAACGUGAAAUCCCCAGGCUCAACCUGGGAACUGCGUCCGAUACUGGCAGGCUUGAAUCCGGGAGAGGGAUGUGGAAUUCCAGGUGUAGCGGUGAAAUGCGUAGAUAUCUGGAGGAACACCGGUGGCGAAGGCGGCAUCCUGGACCGGUAUUGACGCUGAGGCGCGAAAGCCAGGGGAGCAAACGGGAUUAGAUACCCCGGUAGUCCUGGCCCUAAACGAUGAAUGCUUGGUGUGGCGGGUAUCGAUCCCUGCCGUGCCGAAGCUAACGCAUUAAGCAUUCCGCCUGGGGGAGUACGGUCGCAAGGCUG